GAGUAUCAUGUGGUCUGGUUCCUCCUGGGUCAGCUAGAGGGAGUAUCAUGUGCUCUGGUUCCUCCUGGGUCAGGUAGAGGGAGUGUCAUGUGCUCUGGUUCCUCCUGGGUCAGCUAGAGGGAGUAUCAUGUGGUCUGGUUCCUCCUGGGUCAGCUAGAGGGAGUAUCAUGUGGUCUGGUUCCUCCUGGGUCAGGUAGAGGGAGUAUCAUGUGGUCUGGAUACUAGGGGGAGUGUCAUGUGGUCUGGUUACUAGGGGGAGUGUCUUGUGGUCUGGUUACUAAGGGGAGUGUCAUGUGCUCUGGUUCCUCCUGGGUCAGCUAGAGGGAGUAUCAUGUGGUCUGGUUCCUCCUGGGUCAGCUAGAGGGAGUAUCAUGUGCUCUGGUUCCUCCUGGGUCAGCUAGAGGGAGUAUCAUGUGCUCUGGUUCCUCCUGGGUCAGCUAGAGGGAGUAUCAUGUGCUCUGGUUCCUCCUGGGUCAGCUAGAGGGAGUAUCAUGUGCUCUGGUUCCUCCUGGGUCAGCUAGAG